UACGUAGGGGGCUAGCGUUGUCCGGAAUCAUUGGGCGUAAAGAGCGUGUAGGCGGUCCGGUAAGUCCGCUGUGAAAGUCGGGGGCUCAACCCUCGAAUGCCGGUGGAUACUGUCGGGCUAGAGUACGGAAGAGGCGAGUGGAAUUCCUGGUGUAGCGGUGAAAUGCGCAGAUAUCAGGAGGAACACCUAUUGCGAAGGCAGCUCGCUGGGACGUAACUGACGCUGAGGAGCGAAAGCGUGGGGAGCGAACAGG
rnacentral:rRNA from 1 species